GAGGUCUGGCCCUCUGCCGGGUGCUCUCUUUCUGAUGAACUUUGUGGUCUUGGAUCAGGCCCUUCAGCUAAUUGUACCAUCUCUAAGGUGAUAUGGGGUGUCAUGAAGCUUCCUGACUUGCGAGGUGUUAUCUCAGGGGACUUUAUUCCACCCAGAAGAUAGGAAUCACAGCCUCCUGCCGUCCUGCAUAAUUAAAACACAUCUUUCUUUUCAAUGGACUGACUCAUUGUUUGUUUUUCUUCUCAUACACUUGGUGACCCCCCCCCCCCCACUGCUUCCUCAUGGCUGUCUCUCUCCUUGUCUCCCGCCACAGUCGUCUCCAGGGCCCAUGUGGCCAAGGAAGCAGUUAUCCACAUGCCACACAGUAGGGCUGACUCUUCACUUAGGAGCUGCCUUUGUGCUGCCAGUAGAGGCAGUAACCGUGGUCUUCAAGAAAAUAUUCUCCCCCUGAGCGCUGAGAACAUCCAGCACCAAGAGGAGAGGAGAUGCCAAAGCGGGACUGAAAGAACUAAAGGCUCAGAUGGAGGAAUCUCUUCUGGGCCCUCCAAGUAGGACCCCUUCCCUGGAGGGGGGGAGAUUCUGCCAAAGAGCACCAGGGACAGAGGCCUUGCACUACAACUGCUGAGCCCUUCGCCCUUGUUUGGUUGGCUGUAUAGGUCUUUGCUUUCAGGUACAAUACCCUGCAAAUGCACACAAAGCACACAGUUCACAUGAUGACUUUCGUGGGGCCUAUGUACUUUUGCCUUCCUGGGCGCUCUCACCCAUAAAAUAUUAAAAAGUAUUUUUUACCACUG